rnacentral:lncRNA from 10 species
GAAAAGUGAAUAAUAAUAUAAUACAGCUUUCAAAUUACUUUAUGCUGUUACUUUAUUUCUAUUGUAUUCACAUGUGAAAGUAUGUGAUCAGUUGUUGCUGUAUCAGAGAUAUUAGAGAUUCUUUAUUAGUUGGGCAUUCUUUAUGACCUUUUCUAUAAAAGAGUAAGGACAUUAAAAUGUAAGAUGCAUGAUAAAAAUAUAAGCUCUUCACAUCUCAGACGGGGCGGCGGGGCAGAGGCGCUCCCCACAUGUCUUGCUAUGUUGCCCAGGCUAGUCUUGAACUCCUGGCCUCAAGGUAUCCUGGCCAACAUAGUUAAACCCUGUCUCUACUAAAAAUACAAAAAAUUAGCCGGGCGUGGUGGCAGGUGCCUGUAAUCCCAGCUACUCGGGAGGCUGAGGCAGGAGAAUCACAUGAACCCAGGGGGCAGAGGUUGCAGUGAGCCAAGAUCACACCACUGCACUCUAGCCUGGGUGACGGAGUGAGACUCCAUCUAAAAAAAAAAAAAAAAAAAAAAAAUUCCCCAGUGUAGUUAAGUGCUGUGGCAUCACUCCUUGGAUUUGAAAAAUAAUCUUUUUU